rnacentral:rRNA from 1 species
UAGCUAGUUGGUAAGGUAAAGGCUUACCAAGGCGAUGAUGCAUAGCCGAGUUGAGAGACUGAUCGGCCACAUUGGGACUGAGACACGGCCCAAACUCCUACGGGAGGCAGCAGUAGGGAAUCUUCCACAAUGGACGCAAGUCUGAUGGAGCAACGCCGCGUGAGUGAAGAAGGUUUUCGGAUCGUAAAGCUCUGUUGUUGGUGAAGAAGGAUAGAGGUAGUAACUGGCCUUUAUUUGACGGUAAUCAACCAGAAAGUCACGGCUAACUACGUGCCAGCAGCCGCGGUAAUAUGUAGGUGGCAAGCGUUGUCCGGAUUUAUUGGGCGUAAAGCGAGCGCAGGCGGAAGAAUAAGUCUGAUGUGAAAGCCCUCGGCUUAACCGAGGAACUGCAUCGGAAACUGUUUUUCUUGAGUGCAGAAGAGGAGAGUGGAACUCCAUGUGUAGCGGUGGAAUGCGUAGAUAUGUGGAAGAACACCAGUGGCGAAGGCGGCUCUCUGGUCUGCAACUGACGCUGAGGCUCGAAAGCAUGGGUAGCGAACAGGAUUAGAUACCCUGGUAGUCCAUGCCGUAAACGAUGAGUGCUAAGUGUUGGGAGGUUUCCGCCUCUCAGUGCUGCAGCUAACGCA